ensembl:misc_RNA Metazoa_SRP Metazoan signal recognition particle RNA
GCCGGGCAUGGUGGCGCAUGCCUAUAGUCCCAGCUACUUGGGAGGCUGAGGUGGGAGGAUCGCUUGAGCCCAGGAGUUCUGGGCUGUAUUGCACUAUGCCGAUCAGAUGUCCACACUAAGUUCGGCAUCAAUAUGGUGACCUCCUGGGAGCGGGGGACCACCAGGUUGCCUAAGGAAGGGUGAACCAGCCCAGGUCAGAAACAGAGCUGGUCGAAACUCCCAUGCUGAUCAGUAGUGGGAUCUCGUUUGUGAAUAGCCACUGCACCUCAGCCUAGGCAACAUAGCGAGACCCUGUCUCUU